AUGAUUCAGGUGGCAACAGGGGGACUCUCCACCUGUCCUGGCCACCUCACUGGUGCUCUGGGGAGUCAGCCCGGUAGGGGCCUGGAGGGGCCCACGGUCUGGAGUCAGCUGCUCCAGGGUUCCGAGGCUGGUGGCCUUAGGCAAGCUAUGUCCUACCCUGGCCAGGUGUCCCACCUGCAGACCAGCAGAGCCCACGACCCCACUGAUGUGCGUGGACGGGACUGGUUUGGCCAUGGAGCAAAUCUCUGGGCCCCGGCCUCCUCGUGUCUGGAGGAGAGUGAAGAUCCUGCCUACUCCAGGCUAUUUCGAGGAGCUCGGACAAGUUUAGGGAGCAGACGGCGUGCAGCAGAGAUGGUGUGUCGAGGAGAGUUGCCCCUGUGGGCUCCAGACGGAGGAAGUCAGAGGAGCAGAUGAUGAGUGAUAUUGAGCAUUUUUUCACGUGUCUGUUCACCAUCUGGACGUCUUCUUUGGAGAAGUGUCUAUUCAGAGAACAUUUACUUUUAAUUCUCCCAUUUUAUCAUCCCCAAUAUGGUGGCUUUCUUCCUGGAGACUGCCACCUAAUGGCUGCAAGACAGCUGCCACAGCUCCUAACUUCACACCACAGCACUUCAAGUCAGGAGGAUGAGGAUGAAACGGGAAUCACUGAAGAUUUUUAAAAGAAGUAGGGUAUGUUCAGAUGUGUAUUUUAUAAAAAUUUCUCUGGAGGCACACAUAGAAGACACAGUUUAGAAUGUUCCCAAGGGAGGAAGGGUAACAAGUGUGGAUGUGACCAAGAGACAAAAGGAAGUCACAGUCUUGCUGGGAAUUAAAGUGAAAAGAAUGGCAGAGGGCACUACUAUUCAUCGAGGAGAAGGGCUCAGAUGCUGAGAGAAAACAAGAGACAUGGGACCCCAUGGAGUGUAACUCUCAAAUUUCCAGGUCUUUGGGAGUCUGACUUCCCCAAACCAGACUUCUUGGAUGCCCCUGCCUGUUUCCCAUAAGCCGUGAAGUAUAUGCAGGUUUUAUUCUUUGCUACCAAGUGGCCCAUGAUUGACACACCAGGACUUGCAGAACUGACAGAGGCAAAGUGACUAAGGUGAAAAAAAGGGCAAGUCCCAAGUGGACUCUGAUUCCUGAGUGUCCACAUUGUCUAAUGUGUGUAAGACCAAAGGGGAAAUGAUUUUGGGGUUGGCCCUGGUGGGGCAAAUUCCUGCCUCUAUUGCAAAAUCCCUGACCCCUGUGGUGGCUGAUAUCCUGAGUGGCCUCUGUGAACCUCAAAGUCUUUCAGUAAACUGCAGUGCCUGAGAUGGUGAAGCCAGAUUGCCUGGGCUGGAAACCCAAAUGUACCCUUGACUCAAGUUCCGCAAUCAAUCAGGCCAUCUAACCCAGGGGUUGGCUAACGUUUUCUCUAAAGGGCCAGAAUAGUAAAUCUUUCAUGUUUUGCAGGCCGUACUGUCUCUAUCACAACUAUGCAACCCUGCCAUUAUAGCGUGAGUAUAGCCAUCGGCGAUAUGUAGACGAUGAGCACGGCUGUGUGCCAAUAAAACUUUAUUUAAGAUGCUGAAAAUGGAAUUU
ensembl:lncRNA